CUUCGGCAAUGGACGAAAGUCAUUGACCGAGGCAACGCCGCGUGAGUGAAGAAGGUUUUCGGAUCGUAAAACUCUGCGUUAGAGAAGAACAAGGACGUUAGUUACUGAACGUCGGCUGACGGUAUCUAACCAGAAAGCCACGGCUUUCUACGGUGCCAGCAGCCAAGGUAAUACGUAGCUUGGCCGGCGUUG
rnacentral:rRNA from 1 species